AAAAUUUCCGUAAAAAUACGGUACAAUGUACCAUAUAAAUGUGAAGGAUUUUUUCCGUAUUUGUCUUUUACGGAUCUUUUACCCUUAUUUUGAAUUACGCGUUGCAUUGUGGGAACAUGAUCCCGGCAGCGCGAAAAGUUUAAGACGCAUCCGCCAUUACACACGCAGAUGACCGCGGGCAAAGUUGCUUUUUAGAGCCGGAUUUCGGGUGUGUGGAAGCCAUUCUGACACUUAUGUGGUAAAACUUAAACUUAAAAACGAAAAUUAUGUGUUGCUUGAUGUUAAAAAAGCUGUUAACGUAACGUUAUUUUUAGUUACCAUCUGGCAUUAACUGUUAGCCGUCGUGUUUAUCAUUUUAUGCAUAUCGUCACACAUUAAGACUCGUGGAGGUUCUCGAUUGUAGUGUCCUUGUUGUAAUGGGCUUAUUUACUUUUAUUUGUCGUGAUGCGGUUUAUUUCUUGCCGAGCGAAUCCGUUAACUAACGUUAGUUGUGAUAGUUCUAACGUUAGCUAGUGUUUUUGGAGCAAUUUAAUGCCUUCAAGCAAAAGCAACCAGAGGAAUCGUCAAGAAAAGUAAACGCCAUUAAGACUUGCUUGAUUUGAAAGGCAUGAAGACACAACGUGAAGAGACUGUGUGUGGAUAUGCAGUAACUUGACCGAUACAGCUGGAUCAAGGAAAACACCAGCACCUUUUCUGCAAAAUGAGGACUUUUCUGCUGUAGUUUACAUCCCAAGCACCACCUGCAUGCUUCUUAUGGGUGGUGGACAUUCAGGGUUGCUGUCAUUCAAGAAGUUAUUGACCACAUCUCCUACCCUAUUGAGGCAGUAAGAUGCAAAAUACCUGAAGAAAAUGGCACUUAUCCUGGAUUUCAUAUAAAGAAAUCCUGAACGAAGGUUGAAAAGGCUGAGAUGAAGGAAACGUCCCCAUUCCUCCAAAACUGCUGAAGUUCCUGUAUGAACAACUUCGAAAAACCAGCUGGCAUCUUGGGGAGGACGACCUCGCAUCCAGUAUGCUGCUGUGGGUGCCGCAGGAUUUCGAACUCAUUCGAUCACUUGUCUCCAUGCUUUUUGAACUAAUCGUGCCUUGCUGUGGGUCAAGCCGCUGGAUCUUCAGAUCUUCUUCGAUUUGCUUAAUCAAUCCUUUUUUUGGGUGCAGUGCGCUGGAUUCUCCACUGGGUUGGACGUUUCCUCCAGAGGACUUGUGUGGUAUUCAAUUUGCAUCCAUUCUGCACGUGUCCAAACAUUUCACUCUAUUGACUAGAAGUCUAAAGCAAUUUUUAAGGAUAAAAGCAGAAGCCUUAUCUUCAUUGCAUUUUAUUUGUUUCUGUAUUGUAUCGUAUUCUAUUAGUAUUGCAUUUGAAAAUGUUUUGAAUCUUGACUUUCACAGUUUAUGAAGGUUUUUUUUUUUUUUUCCCUUUUU